rnacentral:rRNA from 1 species
CUAUAAUGCAAGUCGAGCGGAAGAAGGGAGCUUGCUCCCGGAUGUUAGCGGCGGACGGGUGAGUAACACGUGGGUAACCUGCCUGUAAGACUGGGAUAACUCCGGGAAACCGGAGCUAAUACCGGAUAGUUCCUUGAACCGCAUGGUUCAAGGAUGAAAGACGGUUUCGGCUGUCACUUACAGAUGGACCCGCGGCGCAUUAGCUAGUUGGUGGGGUAAUGGCUCACCAAGGCGACGAUGCGUAGCCGACCUGAGAGGGUGAUCGGCCACACUGGGACUGAGACACGGCCCAGACUCCUACGGGAGGCAGCAGUAGGGAAUCUUCCGCAAUGGACGAAAGUCUGACGGAGCAACGCCGCGUGAGUGAUGAAGGUUUUCGGAUCGUAAAGCUCUGUUGUUAGGGAAGAACAAGUGCGAGAGUAACUGCUCGCACCUUGACGGUACCUAACCAGAAAGCCACGGCUAACUACGUGCCAGCAGCCGCGGUAAUACGUAGGUGGCAAGCGUUGUCCGGAAUUAUUGGGCGUAAAGGGCUCGCAGGCGGUUUCUUAAGUCUGAUGUGAAAGCCCCCGGCUCAACCGGGGAGGGUCAUUGGAAACUGGGGAAACUUGAG